rnacentral:rRNA from 1 species
GACGAACGCUGGCGGCGUGCCUAAUACAUGCAAGUAGAACGCUGAAGGAGGAGCUUGCUUCUCUGGAUGAGUUGCGAACGGGUGAGUAACGCGUAGGUAACCUGCCUGGUAGCGGGGGAUAACUAUUGGAAACGAUAGCUAAUACCGCAUAAGAGUAGAUGUUGCAUGACAUUUGCUUAAAAGGUGCAAUUGCAUCACUACCAGAUGGACCUGCGUUGUAUUAGCUAGUUGGUGAGGUAACGGCUCACCAAGGCAACGAUACAUAGCCGACCUGAGAGGGUGAUCGGCCACACUGGGACUGAGACACGGCCCAGCGGGUAGGGAAUCUUCGGCAAUGGACGGAAGUCUGACCGAGCAACGCCGCGUGAGUGAAGAAGGUUUUCGGAUCGUAAAGCUCUGUUGUAAGAGAAGAACGAGUGUGAGAGUGGAAAGUUCACACUGUGACGGUAUCUACC